rnacentral:rRNA from 1 species
UACAGAGGGGGCAAGCGUUAUUCGGAAUUAUUGGGCGUAAAGGGUGCGUAGGCGGGUCUUUAAGUCAGGGGUGAAAUCCUGGAGCUCAACUCCAGAACUGCCUUUGAUACUGAAGAUCUUGAGUUCGGGAGAGGUGAGUGGAACUGCGAGUGUAGAGGUGAAUUCGUAGAUAUUCGCAAGAACACCAGAGGCGAAGGCGGCUCACUGGCCCGAUACUGACGCUGAGGCACGAAAGCGUGGGGAGCAAACAGG